AUUGCUUUUGGCUGUUUUCCAAUGUCUUGUGCUGCUAGCUGAUGCCACCUACACCACACCAGGGCCUGAGUGACCGGCUGGGGCCACUUACACCACAUCAGGGCCUGUGGCUGCUGGCUGAGGCCACUUACACCACACCAGGGCCUGUGGCUGCUGGCUGAGGCCACUUACACCACACCAGGGCCUGUGGCUGCUGGCUGAGGCCACCUACACCACACCAGGGCAUUAGUUGCUAUUGAGGCCAAUUACACCACACCAGGGUCUGUGGCUCUUGCUCAGGCCACUUACACCACACCAGGGCCUGUGGCUGCUGGCUGAGGCCACUUACACCACACCAGGGCCUUAGUUGCUAUUGAGGCCAAUUACACCACACCAGGGCCUGUGGCUGCUGGC
ensembl:lncRNA